GCCCGUGUGGCCUAAUGGAUAAGGCGCUAGCCUCCUAAGUUAGAGACUCAGGGUUCGAGUCCCUGCUCGGGUA
rnacentral:tRNA from 1 species